CAGUAGCCGCGGUAAUACGUAGGUGGCAAGCGUUGUCCGGAAUUAUUGGGCGUAAAGGGCUCGCAGGCGGUUUCUUAAGUCUGAUGUGAAAGCCCCCGGCUCAACCGGGGAGGGUCAUUGGAAACUGGGAAACUUGAGUGCAGAAGAGGAGAGUGGAAUUCCACGUGUAGCGGUGAAAUGCGUAGAGAUGUGGAGGAACACCAGUGGCGAAGGCGACUCUUUGGUCUGUAACUGACGCUGAGGAGCGAAAGCGUGGAGAGCGAACAGGAUUAGAUACCCCUGUAGUCCCUGUCUCUUAUAC
rnacentral:rRNA from 1 species